CUGUAUUUGUCCUAAUGCAUGAUAUGAGUUCUUGCAGGCACAGUGUAGUUCAGCCAUUCAUGAAAAUCCAUUUAGCCAGUAUAUAUAUUUCAAGUGGACAAUUUAAUCUAUUUACAUUCAAGGUUAUUUGCUGAGAUCAGCUCGAUCAUGGAGACCCCAUCCCAGCCGCACUAGAGGAAUUGAAGACACAGACACAGAAAUAGAAGAAUCAGGAGGCUAACAGCCUUCAGAGCUGAGAGCCACAAACGGAGUUUGACCCAUAUAUUUAUUGACAGCAAGACAAUGGUUUGUUUCAGUAUGCUGGGCGUCCACUCUAAACCCUGUUCUUCUAUCACCAGUGGAAGAUGCAGAACAGCAAAGACUGCUGCCUGUUCCUUUUUCAGGAAGCUUCAUCCCAGGGGGGCACUGAUUUGAUACCACUGGGAGCUCUCCUGUAUGAGAGGUACUAAUCAUUGUGCAAGGCUGGGAGAAGUCUGGAGCCACUGAUGAUUUCUGAACAGGGCACACCCUGGCAUUAUUCAAAGGCUUCUGGACAAGCCAGCCUCUGACAGCCCAUCCAGGUGUUGGUAAUGGAUCUCCAGCUAUCCUGUCAAAAAAUGUUCCUAAAUUUUACUUCCUUUCUACCAGUGUUCACAAUUUCUCCUAUUCUGUCUGUGUGUGCAAUGUGCGGGAAGUUUUACUUUCACUUUUCUUUGCAUUUUAAAGUUCUCACUGAGAGUUUAUAAAGAUUUUUAUUAAACUUGUUUCCAAGUGUUUAUGUUUUUGUUGCUAUUGUAAUUUAAAUUAUCUUUUUCAUUUGAUUUUCUAAUUGUUUGCUGUUAUAAUGGUAAAUAAAAAUGUAACUUUUCUAGAGUCAGUUUGCAUCAGUUAAGUCUACUUAUUACUUCCAUUAGUUAUCUUAAAGUUUCCUUAAGAUUUUCUUUGCAAAUAGUCACGUUAUUUAUGAAUAUAUAUGGCGUUAUUUCUUCCUUUAUUUUAUGCAUAUUACUUCUUUCUUGUGAAGACUAGAAUUUCCAGUACAAUGUCAAAUAUAUGUGGUUAGAGUUUCCUAUUUGAAAGAGAAAGCAUUCAAUAUUUCACCAAUUAAGAAUGAUAGAUUUCUGUAAGUUUCCCAAAGAUGCCUUUCAUGAGCUUGCAGAAAUAACCCUAAAGAGCUUUUGUAAUAAAUAACUAUUGAAUUUUUUC
rnacentral:lncRNA from 10 species